AGAGAGAGACAUGCGCGCAUAUCAAUAAGCGGAGGAAAAGAAACUAACAAGGAUUCCCUUAGUAACGGCGAGUGAAGCGGGAAGAGCUCAAAUUUGAAAAUCUUCAAGGUUUUACCUUGACGAAUUGUAGUUUAAAGAAGUGUUUUCUGCUGAAGUUUUGGUAAAAGUUCUUUGGAAUAGGACAUCAUAGAGGGUGAGAAUCCCGUAUUUGACCAUUAUUUUCAGCUUUGUGAUACACUUUCAAAGAGUCGGAUUGUUUGGGAAUGCAGUCCAAAAUGGGUGGUAAAUUUCAUCUAAAGCUAAAUAUUGGCGAGAGACCGAUAGCGAACAAGUACCGUGAGGGAAAGAUGAAAAGAACUUUGAAAAGAGAGUUAAACAGUACGUGAAAUUGUCAAAAGGGAAGCGUUUGACACCAGUGUUGUUUUCUCGAAAAUCAAUUAAAAAUGGCUCGAUUUUGUAUUGCUUGAGACCUUAAAAGCUCACUGUACAUUUUUCGUGUCUUUUUUAAUGCACUUUUCGUUUAACAAGUCAACAUCAGUUUCUUUUGUUGUAAAAGGGUCAUUGGAAGGUGGCUUUCUUUUCGGAGAGAAGUGUUUAUAGCCUUUGGCCUCUGCAAUCGGAGAGACUGAGGUCUGCAGCGUAGACUCUUCGGGGUUAGAUACAUUUGUGCUAAGUUAUAGCUUUUUAUAGACAACUUGUUGACUAUAAUUAGUCUUGUAGCUUACUCGCUUAUGCUAUUUUACCUACGCUUAGGAUGUUGAAGAUGUAGCACAUCAU
rnacentral:rRNA from 1 species